GGGUUGUGAGGUUAAGCGACUAAGCGUACACGGUGGAUGCCCUGGCAGUCAGAGGCGAUGAAGGGCGUGCUAAUCUGCGAUAAGCGCCGGUAAGGUGAUAUGAACCGUUAUAACCGGCGAUACCCGAAUGGGGAAACCCAGUGUGAUUCGUCACACUAUCAUUAACUGAAUCCAUAGGUUAAUGAGGCGAACCGGGGGAACUGAAACAUCUAAGUACCCCGAGGAAAAGAAAUCAACCGAGAUUCCCCCAGUAGCGGCGAGCGAACGGGGAGGAGCCCAGAGCCUGAAUCAGCAUGUGUGUUAGUGGAAGCGUCUGGAAAGGCGCGCGAUACAGGGUGACAGCCCCGUACACAAAAGCGCAUGUGCUGUGAGCUCGAUGAGUAGGGCGGGACACGUGGUAUCCUGUCUGAAUAUGGGGGGACCAUCCUCCAAGGCUAAAUACUCCUGACUGACCGAUAGUGAACCAGUACCGUGAGGGAAAGGCGAAAAGAACCCCGGCGAGGGGAGUGAAAAAGAACCUGAAACCGUGUACGUACAAGCAGUGGGAGCACCCUUCGGGG
rnacentral:rRNA from 3 species